AGAAUCAACGCUGGCGGCGUGCCUAACACAUGCAAGUCGAACGAGAAAGUGGAGCAAUCCAUGAGUAAAGUGGCGCACGGGUGAGUAACACGUGACUAACCUACCCUUGAGUGGGGGAUAACCUAGAGAAAUCUGGGCUAAUACCGCAUAAUACCUACGGGUCAAAGGAGCAAUUCGCUUUAGGAGGGGGUCGCGGCCGAUUAGUUAGUUGGCGGGGUAAUGGCCCACCAAGACAGUGAUCGGUAUCCGGCCUGAGAGGGCGCACGGACACACUGGAACUGAAACACGGUCCAGACUCCUACGGGAGGCAGCAGUGGGAAUUUGCGCAAUGGGGGAAACCCUGACGCAGCAACGCCGCGUGGAGGAUGAAGCCCCUUGGGGCGUAAACUCCUUUCGAUCGGGACGAUAAUGACGGUACCGAGAGAAGAAGCCCCGGCUAACUUCGCGCCAGCAGCCGC
rnacentral:rRNA from 1 species